rnacentral:rRNA from 1 species
AGAGUUUGAUCAUGGCUCAGGAUGAACGCUGGCUGUGUACCUAAUACAUGCAUGUUGAACGAAGCUAAAAGUGCUUGCACUUUAAGACUUAGUAGCGAAUGGGUGAGUAACACGUACUUAACCUACCCCCAAGUUUGGGAUAACGUUUGGAAACGAACGCUAAUACCGAAUACGUAUUUUUAUCGCAUGAUAGAAAUAUAAAAGGAGCUUCGGCUUCGCUAGGGGAUGGGAGUGCGCUACAUUAGUUAGUUGGUAGGGUAAUGGCCUACCAAGACUAUGAUGUAUAGCGGGGCCGAGAGGCUGAUCCGCCACACUGGGACUGAGAUACGGCCCAGACUCCUACGGGAGGCAGCAGUAGGGAAUUUUCCACAAUGAACGAAAGUUUGAUGGAGCAACACAGCGUGCAGGAUGAAGGCCUUCGGAUCGUAAACUGCUGUUAUAAGGGAAGAAAAACUUUAGUAGGUAAUGACUAGAACUUGACGGUACCUUAUCAGAAAGCGACGGCUAACUAUGUGCCAGCAGCCGCGGUAAU